CUAUCUAUAGCUUAAUUUAAGUAAAUUCUGGAGGACUUCUUCAUAUUCAGAUAAUGAUCUCUUGGCAGUUUGGGCUGAAUUUUACUGAAUUCUUAGUGAAUUUUAAUGAUAAGAUACAGGAUGUGCAUUCUGAAACUCAGGUAUAUUUUCACCAUGACUUUUCAACAUCAUUUCAAUUCAUGACAUUUCAAUUCCUCGGUACAUAUUUUUGUCUUUUUUGAUUUGAUAUAUUUCGUUUGAUAACAGCAACUUCAGCACAUUCGUAAUUUUGACUUCACUAACUUCUUUUGCUUUAUUGUUAUGUGUAUUGUUAUUUUAACGAAUUGUCACAACUGAGUCGUACAUCAUCCAAGUUUAGUGCGGAAAUAUUGCUUUAGUGUAAAUAAUUCCGCACUAAAUGGUUAUGGAAAUGGAAAUGUUAAAUGCGACAUCAAGAGUUUUGGACAGUGUUGGAUUAAUUCGUCUGCAGUACAAAACUUCUUUCAUCAAGUCCUUAACAUAUCCUGAAAAGCAAAUCAUUUAUUUAUGUUGGCUUUGCAUUUCACUUUGAGAAAAGGCUCUCUAACAUAUCAUGUUCACAUUUUGGGAAUACAUCACUGUGUCCCUCGUGGAUGUCACAUAUAUGGUUGAGAACUGACAACCACUUUGUCUUGACAAGCUCUUCAUCACCAUUGCUGGAAGCAGCACACCAGUAUACAUGGUUGGAAAUUGAUUGGGCCCAAUCUGACAAUAAUUUGCAACCACUUUUUCUUGAUGCUGCCAAAAUUUUCUUUUUGAUUCCUGUUGGAUUUUGAUUAUUGAUGAAAUGUGUAAAGGGAUUUGAUUUGAGCAUGUCUGUCUGUGGUCAUUGACUUCACCUUCAUCCCACUUUCAUCAAACUUUGCCAGACAUCUUUUUAAUCCCUCAAGUUCCAUUGCUCCAGAGUUGGACACUUCAUUGGACUGUUUAACAUAAUUAUAUUCCAAAUCCAUGCAGCUAUAUGACCCAUACUUGGCACAAUAUCCAGGCGAAUCACAUCUUCCAUCUCUUCCAAGGUUAAUGUUCCUUUCUCUGAUUGAUUCUAGAAAAGGAUUUUAGUUCAUAUGCCAAACAUUUGAAACACUGGGUAUCAAAUACGCUGUUUGAAUAUAGCUAUAUGUACGCUAUGACAGAAAUUGUAUGCCUGAGUGACGAAGGAAUUGAAGAACUUUGCUGGGCUACUACCACUAAACAAAAUGCUGGCAGCAAAGACCAAAUUACCCAAAGGCAUUUGCCCAUGCAGAGGUUGGCUAUUCCAUUCUCGAACAUAGCCACAAUGACAUUUUGCUAGUACGUUAACCAUACUACCAGUCGUUUUGGUCACAGUGGAACAGCUUUCACCACAACAUGGGCAUUGACUCACUAACUGUCUCUGGCAACUAUCAAACACUAUGUAUUUUCUCUCAUUUUGAGCAUCUUUCCUAUAACAUAAAAAUGGACAGCAGGACGGCUUCGCCUUAAGAAGGAUGCUGUACCACGAUUUUUGAAUACUCUUUGGAACCCACAAGUGUAGCAUCUAAAAGGAAGCAGC